UACGUAGGGUGCAAGCGUUAAUCGGAAUUACUGGGCGUAAAGCGUGCGCAGGCGGUUUUGUAAGACUGUCGUGAAAUCCCCGGGCUUAACCUGGGAAUGGCGAUGGUGACUGCAAGGCUAGAGUUUGGCAGAGGGGGGUAGAAUUCCACGUGUAGCAGUGAAACGCGUAGAGAUGUGGAGGAACACCGAUGGCGAAGGCAGCCCCCUGGGUCAAAACUGACGCUCAUGCACGAAAGCGUGGGGAGCAAACAGG
rnacentral:rRNA from 1 species